rnacentral:tRNA from 1 species
AGGCCAAUAAGCUCAGUCAGUCAGAGCAUGGUGCUGAUAACGCCAAGGUCGCGAGUUGGAGCCCCGUUCGGUCCC